UAAGAACUAAAAGAUGAGCUACUUUUC
rnacentral:piRNA from 1 species